rnacentral:rRNA from 1 species
GGAGCUCUCCCAUAUGGUCGACCUGCAGGCGGCCGCGAAUUCACUAGUGAUUAGAGUUUGAUCAUGGCUCAGAUUGAACGCUGGCGGCAUGCCUUACACAUGCAAGUCGAACGGCAGCGCGGGGCAACCUGGCGGCGAGUGGCGAACGGGUGAGUAAUAUAUCGGAACGUACCCUGGAGUGGGGGAUAACGUAGCGAAAGUUACGCUAAUACCGCAUACGAUCUAAGGAUGAAAGUGGGGGAUCGCAAGACCUCAUGCUCCUGGAGCGGCCGAUAUCUGAUUAGCUAGUUGGUGGGGUAAUGGCUCACCUAGGCGACGAUCCCUAGCUGGUCUGAGAGGAUGACCAGCCACACUGGGACUGAGACACGGCCCAGACUCCUACGGGAGGCAGCAGUGGGGAAUAUUGCACAAUGGGCGCAAGCCUGAUGCAGCCAUGCCGCGUGUAUGAAGAAGGCCUUCGGGUUGUAAAGUACUUUCAGCGGGGAGGAAGGCAACAGCGUGAAUAGCGCUGUUG